UAAUAAGUGUUUUAUGGCACUUUUUAAAUCCAUAUCCACCUCUGUGUGCAAUGUCAGUCGAUCUUCUUCAUGGAGAUCGACCAAACAUCAACCUUUAUCUUUUAACUCUUUGUCUGAAAAAUAUUAUGAAUAAACAAUUCAAAAUA
rnacentral:misc_RNA from 1 species